GAUUGAACGCUGGCGGCAGGCCUAACACAUGCAAGUCGAACGGUAACAGGAAGCAGCUUGCUGCUUUGCUGACGAGUGGCGGACGGGUGAGUAAUGUCUGGGAAACUGCCUGAUGGAGGGGGAUAACUACUGGAAACGGUAGCUAAUACCGCAUAACGUCGCAAGACCAAAGAGGGGGACCUUAGGGCCUCUUGCCAUCGGAUGUGCCCAGAUGGGAUUAGCUAGUAGGUGGGGUAACGGCUCACCUAGGCGACGAUCCCUAGCUGGUCUGAGAGGAUGACCAGCCACACUGGAACUGAGACACGGUUCAGACUCCUACGGGAGGCAGCAGUGGGGAAUAUUGCACAAUGGGCGCAAGCCUGAUGCAGCCAUGCCGCGUGUAUGAAGAAGGCCUUCGGGUUGUAAAGUACUUUCAGCGGGGAGGAAGGGAGUAAAGUUAAUACCUUUGCUCAUUGACGUUACCCGCAGAAGAAGCACCGGCUAACUCCGUGCCAGCAGCCGCGGUAAUACGGAGGGUGCAGGCGUUAAUCGGAAUUACUGGGCGUAAAGCGCACGCAGGCGGUUUGUUAAGUCAGAUGUGAAAUCCCCGGGCUCAACCUGGGAACUGCAUCUGAUACUGGCAAGCUUGAGUCUCGUAGAGGGGGGUAGAAUUCCAGGUGUAGCGGUGAAAUGCGUAGAGAUCUGGAGGAAUACCGGUGGCGAAGGCGGCCCCCUGGACGAAGACUGACGCUCAGGUGCGAAAGCGUGGGGAGCAAACAGGAUUAGAUACCCUGGUAGUCCACGCCGUAAACGAUGUCGACUUGGAGGUUGUGCCCUUGAGGCGUGGCUUCCGGAGCUAACGCGUUAAGUCGACCGCCUGGGGAGUACGGCCGCAAGGUUAAAACUCAAAUGAAUUGACGGGGGCCCGCACAAGCGGUGGAGCAUGUGGUUUAAUUCGAUGCAACGCGAAGAACCUUACCUGGUCUUGACAUCCACGGAAGUUUUCAGAGAUGAGAAUGUGCCUUCGGGAACCGUGAGACAGGUGCUGCAUGGCUGUCGUCAGCUCGUGUUGUGAAAUGUUGGGUUAAGUCCCGCAACGAGCGCAACCCUUAUCCUUUGUUGCCAGCGGUCCGGCCGGGAACUCAAAGGAGACUGCCAGUGAUAAACUGGAGGAAGGUGGGGAUGACGUCAAGUCAUCAUGGCCCUUACGACCAGGGCUACACACGUGCUACAAUGGCGCAUACAAAGAGAAGCGACCUCGCGAGAGCAAGCGGACCUCAUAAAGUGCGUCGUAGUCCGGAUUGGAGUCUGCAACUCGACUCCAUGAAGUCGGAAUCGCUAGUAAUCGUGGAUCAGAAUGCCACGGUGAAUACGUUCCCGGGCCUUGUACACACCGCCCGUCACACCAUGGGAGUGGGUUGCAAAAGAAGUAGGUAGCUUAACCUUCGGGAGGGCGCUUACCAC
rnacentral:rRNA from 1 species